CCUCCUCGAUCUGCUGGGGGCAGAUAAAAUGAAUAUGGGCGUCGAAUCCGCCGGCGGUCACGAUCUUGCCCUCGGCAGCAAUCGCCUCAGUGCCCGGUCCCACGAUGAUGUUGACGCCCGGUUGGGUAUCGGGAUUUCCCGCCUUGCCAAUGGCAGCGAUCACGCCGUCCUUGAGGCCGAUAUCGGCUUUGUAAAUUCCCGUGUGAUCGACGAUAAGUGCGUUGGUGAUCACCGUGUCAACCGCGCCUGCGGCGCGGGUAACCUGCGAUUGCCCCAUGCCGUCCCGG
rnacentral:sRNA from 1 species